CCAGAAUCAAAAUAUCGCCCAGCUCCGGGUUCGGUCGUCAGGAAAAGAACUCAGUACACCUGCCCUUACCUCUGAAUAGUCAGCGGGAAACCGUGGACUCGGUGCCCACGCGAACUGCUACCCGCUGUCUACUAGGGCGGCAAAAAGAAUCUACGAGAACUUCUGCCUUCGAACCUCCAGAAAAACUAUCAAGAUUCCAUGAAGCAUCUCUCUAGCUGCCUUUGAAAUAAUAUGUGCUCAGGUGAAACCUCUUUUCUGCUCUCCUCACAUUUCCACCUCAACCCAUAAAGGAAGAGUUAUUCUUCGAAACUUAGUCCCCUGUCCUUCCUUUUUUAGCACCCCCACAGGUCAAAGAGUUUUAUGCUCAACAAACAGUUCAACAUGUCCACUACAUCCCAGGGACUUGCUGUCCAGCAUGAGGAGCAGGCAGUAAACUGUAUUGCAAUGCAUCGUUCAAGAUUUCACUGUUCUAAAUUUAGAGGAACUAGGAAGAAAAAUGAGACUUUUUCACAAAGGAAAUUAAAGAGUUCAUGUAUCCAUCACCACAGUCACAGUCAAAAUACUGAAUAGUUCCAACAUCACCAGAAGCCCUCGUGUUGCCCUGCAUAAUUCCCUGGAGAUUGAUCCAAGUUGUUGUACGUAUCAAUAGUCUACUCAUUGGUUUAGUGGAUUUUGGUACUUGGGCUGUCCAAAGCAUCAGACUCCAGCAGUCUUCAACUGAUGAGAUGCCGUAAAGAGGCAAAGUUGCUAUUUGGCACCUUUGCAAAGAAACUUCCCCAGGAAUCUGGCUGGAUAACUGUUCAGGAUAAUUAAGAAUAACUGUUAAGCAAGAUUUGGAAAACUGAACUUCCACUAUGCUUCAAUUGACAAUAUUAUAUAUUACACCUUAAGCCAAUUUAAAAUGACUAAGAAAGUCAACUUAAAUAUUUUCCCAUCUAGCCUCCUGCCAGCCAAGCAAUCACAAACCAGAAUACGCCAGCCUGACCCAGACCACAGGGACUACCCUGCAGACUCAUGAACAAAAUAGUUAUUGUUUUAAGCCAUUAAGUUUGGGGGUAGUUUAUUAUGGAACAAGAAAUAAAUGAUCCGCCUUCUGAGUCACUUCAGUACUUUAUUCCAAGCAUUCAAUGACCACCCCCACUACCAUUCUAGGUACCUAAUUUUACCUCCUUUUUCAAAUAAGAAAAACAGACAUACUUAACUCCCCACCCUGACCAAACAUCGCACUAUAGCAUAGUGGCCAAGAAUACCAAUCCUAAAGCCAGACUCCCAAUUCU